rnacentral:rRNA from 1 species
UCGGAACGUGCCCAAUCGUGGGGGAUAACGCAGCGAAAGCUGUGCUAAUACCGCAUACGAUCUACGGAUGAAAGCAGGGGAUCGCAAGACCUUGCGCGAAUGGAGCGGCCGAUGGCAGAUUAGGUAGUUGGUGAGGUAAAGGCUCACCAAGCCUUCGAUCUGUAGCUGGUCUGAGAGGACGACCAGCCACACUGGGACUGAGACACGGCCCAG